ensembl:lncRNA
GUUGCACAUACAUCUAAAAUAAAAAGCCUAACUUAGGAGCACACAGUUUGUGCUACAUAAAGUAUAUGACUGUUACUUUUAUUCAUGCAGCUUGUUGAGAAUGGUUCCACUUUUCUAAGCAACUGAACUUGCAAUUUUGGCCUAGCAGAUGAUAAAAAGAGCAAAAAAUAAAAAUAAAAAUAAAAAAUAAAAAUGGGGCUGUUUACUUCUGUGAUUAAUAUUGAUAGUACUUAGUUAAGAUGCCAUUAAACAAAUAUGUGUGAUUAAUAGGGUUAUAAUGAUACAUUGAUAUGGAUCAAUGCACUGUUCAAAUGACUAGCAAUAUGAAAGUUCAAUUAAAUGUUCUUGUUAUAUUUUGGUUCCAUUUGUGAGUUAAAAAAAAGAAAAGAAAAAACAAACAAAAAAACUGGUUGUGUAAAAUAGGCACAUAAUAAAAUAAUAUCAAUAUAUAAAUUUAAUCAAAUCAUAAUUGUAUUGCAGCAGGUUUUAAGGUAUCAGCAGGAAUUGUAAGAGAAUCAAUGUCAGAUUGUAUCGUGAUAAAAUACCUGAUUUAUACCCCUAGUGAUUAAUUAGUUAAUUUAAAAAAAAAAAAUUGUUUAGCAGCCCUAAAAAAAUUGCAUGUCUGGACAAUUUUUUUUUUUUAAAAAUGAUCUUUAUUCUAUAGGGUCGGCCAGGCCCACCUGGUGUCCAGGGACCUCCAGGACUUAAAGGCAGUCAGGUAAAGUUACACACCAGACUAAUGUGCAUACAUCAGUCACAUCUGUGUGCAAGAGUUAUAAGAUUGACUGUGGAGUGAUGCUUAUGUUUAUUUAUUAUUAGGGUGAUGCUGGGCUUCCAGGUAUUGGCCUUCCAGGACUGCAGGUGAAUGAACAGUUAUUGUAAUCACUCAGAAAAGCUCUUUUCAUUUAUACCAUUUUUAGAGAAAUGUGCAGGUCUCAGUUGCAUUUAAAUAAUUUCUUUAAUGCACCAGCCCUUUGUAAUGUUUUGAUGUUCUCACUCAGGGUGAGCAGGGACCUAGAGGUUUUCCCGGAGUUGCUGGUCCAGAAGGACGUCUGGGACCUGCAGGGCCGAUUGGACCAGCGGGACAAAGGGUACAGUAGAUCACCAACGCAAUGACAUAGUACUCUUUAGGCCAAAAGACACUCUGGAUCUGACCUCACUGUUGUCCUAAUAUAUUGCUUGAUAUCAAUAGGGUCCACAGGGAGAAAUGGGACCACCAGGGCCACAGGGACCAAUGGGAAUGGGACCAAUCGGACCCCCGGUAAGACCUUGAGAUACAGUAAAACAUGGACCAAAAAUUGUCCCCAGCCAAUGAUGCAGCCGUUUUUUAUGUGCAGGCUCUCAUCAUUAUAUUUAAUAUCUGAAUGCCAUUAUGGAUGUGAUUAUCUGUUUUGCAUAAUACAGUUGGUAUAGAAAAGAAUCACCCCCCCUUUAAAAUAAUCACAUUUUGUUGCUUUGAAAUGAAGACAGAAACGGUUUUUGUUUUAUCCAGCUGUAUUUACUCAGUGCAAUUUAUAACAUCCAAGUGAAAGAUAUAACACCAACAUGUCAGGAUAAAUCAGAAUCACUGAGUUGGGAAAAGGAUAACCCCCUUGUGUCAGUAUUUUGUUGAACCAACUUCACUUUAAUUACAGCCUUUAGUCUGUUGGGAUACGUCUCUACUAACUUUGCACAUCUAGACUUUGUAAUAUUUGCCAACUCUUCUUUUGCAGAACUGCUCAAGUUCAGUUACAUUUGAUGGUGAGCGUUUGUGAACUGCAGUAUUGAAAUCAUUCCACAGAUUUUCAGUGGGGUUCAAGUCUGGGCUCUGACUAGGCCAUUCAAGGACAUUCACCUUUUUCUCCU